AAUGUUUCUCGACCUUUUGGCUAAGAUCGUGUGUGUAGUAUCUGCUCUUAUCAGUUUAAUGUCUGAUAUGUCUCUUAUCUGGGACCAUAUAUUAAAUAGAUUUUUGGAACAGGGAGAAAGACUGAGAAGGGGCAGGUGCCCAAUUGGAAGCAAUGUCUCCUUAGCCUGAACAAGCAAAUAAGA